UGUGGAAUAUAUACAGUCGUAACAGAGCGUCGGCUCUAAUAUGUAAUUUGGUGUAUUGUUAAGCGAUCGACUGCAUACACGAGACUAGGAAAACUCUGCCAUGUAGCUUAUUUACGUUCCUAGUCGAUGCUACAGUAAGGAAGCGGUGGAUACAAAGAUGUAGACACAAGUUACGAAACCUGCUGAAGCAGAAGGAACCGAAGUUGAUACUGCUACCAAUAUAACCGUAACUGUACCAGACAGCAAUAAAGUGCAUCUAUAUGACCACGAGUAUACAGCAUCAAACCCUCAACAUUUAAAAAGCUUCCCUUGGAUGUUGUAAACUUGCAGUGGGAAAUAUACCUACUUAAUUAAAGGAAACGAUCCAUGACAAUUGGGAACAUCAUAAUUGAAAAACCCUGGAAAAGGAUCAUGAACACUGUUGGGAGUAUCCAUUCAACUGAAAUAUCAAAGUCAGAAGAAUUGAAGAUUGCAAUGGAUGCAACAGAAGUGAUCUAAUAUGACCAAAUUGAUAGUAAUUACAAGAAUCGCCACAAAGAAAAGACUUUAAUGUGUAUUACACCUAAUGCAGCUCAUUUCCAAUCUGUAUGAUGGAUACAAAUCUGAUUUGGCAAUUGUGAACCAUUGUGGCAUUUUAGAGAAGCUGCAAGUUGGUGAUAUAUUCCUGGCGGACAAAGGAUUUUGUAUAUUUGACAAACUUUCAAAUGACAUGACACUUAAUAUCCCACUCUUUCUUACAAAUAAAUCCCACUUCUCAAAAGAGGAUGCACAAGUUUGCUAAAAAAUUUCUAGAUGCAGAAUCCAUGUUGGGUGGGAAAAUGAGAAAAUAAUUUUUUCAAAAAAAAUCCUAAUAGCCAUAUUCUAUCAUAGUUUAGAUAUUGAUCUGACAAAAUAUUUCAGCUUUGUGUGGCCCAUGUGAUUUUGCAGGUUCCCCUUUUGAAGGAGAUUGCAGAUAAAUCCUACAAACUUAUUAGAUUAAUUGCAUGUAUAUAUAUAUAUACCUUAAAUCUGCACAUACCUGCCACAUUGAAUUUUUAAAGUUAAAAGUAAUGAAUACCAUACAUGCAAUAUAACUUUUCUACAUAUUUAUAUAAAUAUAAAGCCUUUUGGAACGUCUCGAUCAGAAUGAAAUAUUCUCGAGAGGGACGUUAAACAAUAUACAAUCAAACAAUCAACAUUAAAGCCUUUUGUUCUCAUUCUGAAGGUUUUCAAAUCUGCAUUAUUAAAAAAAAAGUAAAAUCCAAUGUUUUUAGUAAAUGCAUGUACUGUAAUUUAAUGAUUUUGUAAAGCUGGACACUGUGUCUAUACAUAUUUUGGUUCAUCUAAAAUAAGAAACACUCUAUCUAUAAUGUUUAUUCAAUAAUAUACAUGUAAUUACACAACUUUGAUAAAUGCACCACUGAUAUCAUAAUAAAGUAUAUGUACAUG